rnacentral:lncRNA from 1 species
CAGACUUCUUUUCUUUGUAGGAAGUGCUAUAGAAGUCUCAGGGUGAUGGGACUCCCUGCCUGGCCCAAGAUACCCAGUUAGCCCCUACGGAUCAGAAUUUCCUCUCCCCAGCAAUAAAGCAUCCAGCCUUUGUAUCUGUAACAGCCUCCCCUGCAAUUUAUGCAUUCUGUGCAAUUGAAGAUGACAUUACACUCCCUUUUAUGUCAGUUGAUGAUGCAUAAUUCUCCUGCACCAGCCAACGACUGUAUUUACUAACACAUUAAAAAACAUCGAUAUGUAUUCAGGUCAGAGCCAUUUUUACAUCAGUAUUUUAUGUGUGAGUCAGAUGGUGGAAUGUUGAAAAGGGGCUUCGUUCCUAUAAACACUACCUCCCACCCUUGCAGAGAAAAUGUACAACUGAAGGCCUGUGAAUAACCAGAUGUACUGGUUAAUCUCUCUUUGUACCACCCCCAUCCCAUCCCUGGAUUCUUUUUCUGACCUUCCUUGCCUUGCUCUGUACUUGAGUCUGUCUACUGCAGACUGCAUCACCUGAGCCCCUUUGCCCGUGGACACCUAAUUGGGCUUGGACAUUGGGAAGCAACAGCAAGAGACCAGAGGAUGAAAGGAGAGAAAGUGUGGUAUCUCCCUCUAGCUCUGUCCUAGCUUUAGUGUGGUGUGUUUGGUAGUAGCUAUUACCUUUUACGCCUGGCUUCUGGUUACACUUACUCUUCCUCUUGCCCCUUCUUCCCUGGAAGUGUAACAGCUUUGAUCAGUUUCCUGUCCCUGGGUGCCUCCAUACCCUCACCCAUUGAUCUGUGGGUAACCCCUUCACAUAGCUCUUUCAUUUUAUCUGUUUGGGGAUGUAUUGCAUUUCCCAAUGGAAUUCCCAAGAAAACGCCAGAUGUUGCAGUUUCCAAAUAAAUUAUUUGGCAAACGAAAUGUUUGCUCUCCCUGCCUAUAACCUGUCUGGACCUUUUUUUGAUGGCCAUCAAGGGGCCCACUACGGAAAUACCAUCAGAAGUAAUUAAUCCUACAACAUUGAAG